AGUAAAUGAUCGAAAGAUAGAGGGGGGGGGGGGCUAAAAAAAAGAAAAGAAAAGAGAAGAAAUCCGACAAACAUUUUCUGGCUUUUCACGUCUUUUUCUGGCUCUCAAAAACAAUAAUACUACAUUUUCUGUUUUCUACCCCUUCAUA
rnacentral:ribozyme from 1 species